GAUCGCGUUCCGGGACACACAGGCGGCGGCUGCGGGAGCAGAGCGGAGAUGCAGCGGCUCGGGGCCACCCUGCUGUGCCUGCUGCUGGCAGCGGCGGUCCCCACGGCCCCCGCGCCCGCUCCGACGGCGACCUCGGCUCCAGUCAAGCCCGGCCCGGCUCUCAGCUACCCGCAGGAGGAGGCCACCCUCAACGAGAUGUUCCGCGAGGUUGAGGAACUGAUGGAGGACACGCAGCACAAAUUGCGCAGCGCGGUGGAAGAGAUUUAGAUCUGGACCAGGCUGUGGGUAGAUGUGCAAUAGAAAUAGCUAAUUUAUUUCCCCAGGUGUGUGCUUUAGGCGUGGGCUGACCAGGCUUCUUCCUACAUCUUCUUCCCAGUAAAUUUCCCCUCUGGCUUGACAGCAUGAGGUGCUGUGCAUUUGUUCAGCUCCCCGAGGCUGUUCUCCAGGCUUCACAGUCUGGUGCUUGGGAGAGUCAGGCAGGGUUAAACUGCAGGAGCAGUUUGCCACCCCUGUCCAGAUUAUUGGCUGCUUUGCCUCUACCGGUUGGCAUACAGCCAACAUGGCUUUGAUAAUUGUUUGAGGGGAGGAGAUGGAAAGAAUGUGGAGUCUCCCUAUGAUGGGUUUUGGGGAAAUGUGGAGAACAGUGCCCUGCUUUGCAAACAUCAACCUGGCAAAAAAUGCAACAAAUGAAUUUUCCACGCAGUUCUUUCCAUGGGCAUAGGUAAGCUGUGCCUUCAGCUGUUGCAGAUGAAAUGUUCUGUUCACCCUGCAUUACAUGUGUUUAUUCAUCCAGCAGUGUUGCUCAGCUCCUACCUCUGUGCCAGGGCAGCGUUUUCAUAUCCACAGUCAAUUCCCUCUCUCAGCACACCCUGGGGAGGGGUCAUUGUUCUCCUCGUCCAUCAGGGAUCUCAGAGGCUCAGAGACUGCAAGCUGCUUGCCCAAGUCACACAGCUAGUGAAGACCAGAGCAGUUUCAUCUGGUUGUGACUCUAAGCUCAGUGCUCUCUCCACUACCCCACACCAGCCUUGGUGCCACCAAAAGUGCUCCCCAAAAGGAAGGAGAAUGGGAUUUUUCUUUUGAGGCGUGCACAUCUGGAAUUAAGGUCAAACUAAUUCUCACAUCCCUCUAAAAUUAAACUACUGUUAGGAAUAACAGUGUUCUCACAGUGUGGGGCAGCCAUCCUUCUAAUGAAGACAAUGAUGUUGACACUGUCCCUCUUUGGCAGUUGCAUUAGUAACUUUGAAAGGUAUAUGACUGAGCGUAGCAUAUAGGUUAACUUGCAGAAACAGUACUUAGGUAAUUGUAGGGCGAGGAUUAUAAAUGAAAUUUGCAAAAUCACUUAGCAGCAACUGAAGACCAUUAUCAACCACGUGGAGAAAAUCAAACCAAGCAGGGCUGUGUGAAAUGUGGUUGUAACAUGCAGACUGCGAACACUGAACUCUACACCACUCCACAAAUGAUGUUUUCAGGUGUCAUGGACUGUUGCCACCAUGUAUUCAUCCAGAGUUAUUAAAGUUUAAAGUUGCACAUGAUUGUAUAAGCAUGCUUUCUUUGAGUUUUAAAUUAUGUAUAAACAUAUGUUGCAUUUAGAAAUCAAGCAUAAAUCACUUCAACUGCU
rnacentral:sRNA from 1 species